rnacentral:rRNA from 1 species
GACCAACCCUUAAAGACUGCUGCAUCUUUAGGACAUUCUAGUCCAACAUCGAGGUCACAAACUCUCUUUUCGAUAUGGACUCUCAAAGAGAAUUAUGCUGUUAUCCCUAUGGUAACUAAUUCCAUUAAUCAAAAUCUUUGGAUCAGUACUUGUCAGUCUCACUAAUUGUAAAGAAGCUUUAUUUGUUCCGUAGUCGCCCCAACCAAAAUUCAAAACAGAUUAAUAUCUAAAAUCUAUACAUUAUUUUCAAUUUAUUUUUUUAAAGCUCAAUAGGGUCUUCUUGUCUUUCAAUAGUAUUUAGGUUUCCUCACCUAAAAAUCAAGUUCUAAAAAAUUAUAUAGAGACAGCUUUGUUCACGUCAAACCAUUCAUACUAGCCCUCAAUUAUAGGGCAAAUGAUUAUGCUACCUUUGCACGGUCAGAGUACCGCGGCCGUUAAAAAUUAUUCACUGGGCAGGUCCGACUC